UAACAAUGAUUAGAAAAUGCCCGCGCUUCUAAGAAAAAAUCCGCUGAGGUGAAAUGAACAUAAUGGUUGAAUUUCUUUGGAUGAA
rfam:Physcomitrella patens subsp. patens PHYPAscaffold_225 genomic scaffold, whole genome shotgun sequence.